CUGCACGGCCGUGCGCAGGCGCGAUAAACCUCUCUCGACGAAUGUCGGCCAGUAUUCCAGAUGGAGGAACAAAUUCCGCGAUUGACCGAUCGUACGCUGGCGUCAGUCGAUCGUUACAAGUCUCGUGAGAUCGGCGAGAGAUGUCACUACUAGGACGUUAGACACUUCAUUAAAGUUCCGCAGAGGAUAGAGUGUGAUUUUGUGUAUCAGUUGAUAAAUAAAGAAGAAAAUCCGA